GCGACCGGCGCACGGGUGCGUAACAGGUGUGCCAAUCUAGUCCAUAAUCGGGGAAUAGCCCAGCGAAAGUUGGAUUAAUGCUCCAUGUGAGUUUUAGAGGCAUCUCUUUAAUUGAAACGUAAGGAUUAUGGGGUGAGCACGCUUCUGAUUAGGUAGUUGGUGAGGUAACGGCUCACCAAGCCGACGAUCAGUAGGGGUUCUGAGAGGAAGGUCCCCCACAUUGGAACUGAGACACGGUCCAAACUCCUACGGGAGGCAGCAGUGAGGAAUAUUGGUCAAUGGACGCAAGUCUGAACCAGCCAUGCCGCGUGCAGGAUGACGGCUCUAUGAGUUGUAAACUGCUUUUGUAUGAGGGUAAUAUCAGGUACGUGUACCUGCUUGAAAGUAUCAUACGAAUAAGGAUCGGCUAACUCCGUG
rnacentral:rRNA from 1 species